GACGGAGUUAAACGUUCCGGGACCAUUCCAGUGUAACUAAGCGCAUGUCCUGUUGUAACUCAAUUAACGAUCCCCUGAUGGUGCAAAACAAAGCACGCCACCCACGCCACGUUACCAAGAUCGCCAUUGUGGGGACAGACACCUGUGCCGUCCGAGCAAAUAUGAGUCACCGGGGGAAAAUAGCACUGCAACGCUUACCGCCGGUGCAGACACAAGUAACCGUCUUUUUACUCAGUUCACCUUCGUCCAUCUAUAAAAAGGUCACGCAGGCUUUCUGGAGCAAGAGGAAUAUCGCGGCCAAGGAAUAUCGCGAAUGAAAUAGGAACCCAGCUGAUUAAUAGCGUGAUCAGCACUGAGAAUGAAUCCUAGCCGCCGCACUGUCUGGAACCACCAGAACAGGCAGGCAGGACUAGGAGCACCGGAGAACACAGCACAGUAGGACUCAAAGAGGAACAUGGGUUGUUUUGAACUUCGAUUGCUGAUGUCACCCAGGUAUUUGCUGCUGGGUGAGUCCAUGCUGAGUUACUAUGGAAACCAUUAAAAUCCAAUGGGAGCAGAGGAGACUCAG